rnacentral:tRNA from 2 species
CAAAAUGUAGCUUAAAAAAGCAUCUCGCUUACACCGAGAAGACGCCUGUGAAAACCAGACCAUCUUGA